AUGAGAGAUUUACAUUGCAUCCAGUCUUCUCCCUCUACUAUAGCCGAUGUGGCACCUGUUGGAACUGUCCACCUGGCUCUGUCGAUUACCACCCAAGCUGCUGGCCUCCUUGCGGUGGUGGUCUUCACCCUCUUUCAUCACCAUGAAGCAGAUCAUCGUUGUGACGUUGUCCAGCACUGGCGAGAAGGGUGGCCCGCAUCGAGACGGCCAAGGUUGGGUGGUCUGCAGGUCAGGCUCGUUGGAAUGGUGACUGGCAAGAUGGAGAGGAAUACAGACGUGUCCUUCACCCUCGACAAUGACACUGGCUGCAUCAAUUUUUCAUCAGAUGGUAUAAUGGACUAG
rnacentral:rRNA from 1 species